AUGAACGCUAGCUACAGGCUUAACACAUGCAAGUCGAGGGGCAUCAGGGUGUAGCAAUGCACCGCUGGCGACCGGCGCACGGGUGAGUAACACGUAUCCAACCUGCCCUUUACUCGGGGAUAGCCUUUCGAAAGAAAGAUUAAUACCCGAUGGUAUAACAUGACCUCCUGGUUUUGUUAUUAAAGAAUUUCGGUAGAGGAUGGGGAUGCGUUCCAUUAGGCAGUUGGCGGGGUAACGGCCCACCAAACCUUCGAUGGAUAGGGGUUCUGAGAGGAAGGUCCCCCACAUUGGAACUGAGACACGGUCCAAACUCCUACGGGAGGCAGCAGUGAGGAAUAUUGGUCAAUGGGCGAGAGCCUGAACCAGCCAAGUAGCGUGAAGGAUGACCGCCCUAUGGGUUGUAAACUUCUUUUAUAUGGGAAUAAAGUCUGCCACGUGUGGCAUUUUGUAUGUACCAUAUGAAUAAGGAUCGGCUAACUCCGUGCCAGCAGCCGCGGUAAUACGGAGGAUCCGAGCGUUAUCCGGAUUUAUUGGGUUUAAAGGGAGCGUAGGUGGACAUGUAAGUCAGUUGUGAAAGUUUGCGGCUCAACCGUAAAAUUGCAGUUGAUACUGCGUGUCUUGAGUACAGUAGAGGUGGGCGGAAUUCGUGGUGUAGCGGUGAAAUGCUUAGAUAUCACGAAGAACUCCGAUUGCGAAGGCAGCUCACUGGACUGCAACUGACACUGAUGCUCGAAAGUGUGGGUAUCAAACAGGAUUAGAUACCCUGGUAGUCCACACAGUAAACGAUGAAUACUCGCUGUUUGCGAUAUACAGUAAGCGGCCAAGCGAAAGCAUUAAGUAUUCCACCUGGGGAGUACGUUCGCAAGAAUGAAACUCAAAGGAAUUGACGGGGACCCGCACAAGCGGUGGAGCAUGUGGUUUAAUUCGAAGCAACGCGAAGAACCUUACCAGGUCUUGACAUCCACUUAAACUUACAGAGAUGUAAGGUGUGCUUGCACAAAGUGAGACAGGUGGUGCAUGGUUGUCGUCAGCUCGUGUCGUGAGAUGUUGGGUUAAGUCCCGCAACGAGCGCAACCCUUAUCUUCAGUUACUAACAGGUUAUGCUGAGGACUCUGGAGAGACUGCCGUCGUAAGAUGUGAGGAAGGUGGGGAUGACGUCAAAUCAGCACGGCCCUUACGUCCGGGGCUACACACGUGUUACAAUGGGGGGUACAGAAGGCCGCUACACAGCGAUGUGAUGCCAAUCCCUAAAGCCCCUCUCAGUUCGGAUCGAAGUCUGCAACCCGACUUCGUGAAGCUGGAUUCGCUAGUAAUCGCGCAUCAGCCACGGCGCGGUGAAUACGUUCCCGGGCCUUGUACACACCGCCCGUCACACCAUGGGAGUUGGGAGUGCCCAAAGCCGGUGAGGCAACCGCAAGGAGCCAGCCGUCUAAGGCAAGACCAAUGACUGGGGUG
rnacentral:rRNA from 1 species